ensembl:lncRNA
AAUAAAGUAACGCGUGUUUCAAUGCUUUGUAAUAUCAAGUGCUUUGUAAACCAUGAAGCUGGAUGCAGAUGUAAAGAAUUGUCUGGAGCGGGCACGGGAGCAGUGAAGACACUGCAGCCUUGGAAUCCUAAAACCUUUGAGUCCCUCCUCUGACACUUUCUGACCCGGAAAGAAACUCUGGAUCUCGGUCUUGCCAUCUGUAAACGUGGGUAAUAACUGCACACGCCUCACGAUGCACGUUAUAGGCUCGGCGCCUGUCCAGCCUGGAUUGAGAGCUUCGGACCGUCGUCCGGUGGUCUGGACAGCUCCCGGAGGGCCGUCUCCUCACCAGGCCAGCGAGGCUUCCGUCUCCUCUUCAGUUGAAUGGUGAUGAUUACACCAGCCCCUCUGCGAUGCUGCGUCUUUUAAUUAAUAUUUAUAAGGCAGCUGGAGAUGCUCACUUGAAAGGGGUGGGUAAUACACGCUGACUCCAGAGUGAGUCCAGCUGUCUCAGGACCCUACUGGUGGCUUCUCCGGGUGGGUCCCAGGGUCUAAAUCUGGGCCUCAUGUUUGGUGGUCAGAAAGAUGCCAUUUUUCUAGAAAAGCUAAGCUCCACUUCCCCAGCAGAUGCGCCUGAUCGCUCAGCUCUGAGUUGGUCUGAGACACGCUACAGGCCCGGUCCCAGGGCCCCUGGUUGUGUUGUGGAAGAAGUCAGGUGUAGGAGAUAAAGCAGCCAGUGUGGCUCCAGAUUUGCCUUCACGUGUCCUAACUCGGGGCUGCACCUGGGAGGCGGGUUGAGGCCUCCGAGACGGGCUGACGGGGCGGGCCAGGCCAGGCCAGGGGGCUGCUGCUUCAGGACGGAGCCUGCCCAUUGCUCAGGCAGGGAGGGCGUGAGGGGCGAGUGGGAAGGCCAAUGCCACGCCGUCCACUCCAGGGCUUCUCUGAACCCCGGGCUGCGCCAGGCACAGGAGGCUCAAGCGCGUAAUUUGUUACUGAGACUACUGCUGCAUUACCAAAGUCACUGGAUGGACACAAGGUUAGCUGGAAAUCCUCCUUCCACUCGUUUACGUUGCCAUAGGGUUUCUUGGCUGAGAGAGAAGACGAAGUCCUUCACCGCAGGGCAUGGCUGAGCUCAUCUUCGCCGUGAGCUGGGGAGUCUCUGACCCUUCAGGUAAGAGAUGCCUAACAGGAAAGCUGCUGGAUCGAAGAGCAGGUGCCGUUCACAUCCUGGUGGAUACGGCCUGACUGCCCUCUAGUUGCAUCCGUGUGGACUCCCACCAGGAGAUUAAGAAAGCAGCUGUUCCUCGAUGCUUUACGAUCAUUGAUGAGUCUGCGAAGUCCCAGAUCAAGGGGCCGCUGACUCAGUGCGUGGGCCACUGCGGCUGCCGAGGUGGAGAACAUUCUCGUCAAAGGAAGAGGGGAAGGAAGAAGAAGUGAAUUAGAAAAUCUGAGAAAUGCAGCAAAAUCAAGAUAUUUCCAAAGUGAUCGGGGGAAGAGAAACAGUGCGAUGCUGAAUUUCUCUGGGUGCUUCAUGCCAGAGAGGAGAGAAAUGUGAUCCAGAGGAUGACAAGCGGAAAGCGGCUUGGGGUUUGGAGUCAGAUUCAUCUGGGGUCAGAUUUGACUGGGUCACUUAGUUGCUGCAUGACCUUGGGCAGGUGACAACCUCCCCAGUCCUUUCUCCUUCUCCAUCUGUGAAAGAGUAACUAUUUAUGGGGCCACGUGAAGAUUAAAUGAAAGGCUGGUGAGCUGGGGGUCUGGGAUGCUCAACUUUUCCUGGUGGACAAUUUAAAGAUCUGUCUCCUCCCCCAAGAAUCCCGUAUCAGUUCCAGUUGUAAAGACAGGGAGACCACCCCUCACAGCUCAACAUUCA